AGUGAACGCUGGCGGUAGGCCUAACACAUGCAAGUCGAACGGCAGCACAGUAUGAGCUUGCUCUUACGGGUGGCGAGUGGCGGACGGGUGAGGAAUACAUCGGAAUCUACUUUUUCGUGGGGGAUAACGUAGGGAAACUUACGCUAAUACCGCAUACGACCUACGGGUGAAAGCAGGGGAUCUUCAUACCUUGCGCGAUUGAAUGAGCCGAUGUCGGAUUAGCUAGUUGGCGGGUUAAAGGCCCACCAAGGCGACGAUCCGUAGCUGGUCUGAGAGGAUGAUCAGCCACACUGGAACUGAGACACGGUACAGACUCCUACGGGAGGGAGCAGUGGGGAAUAUGGCAAAAUGGGAGAAAGCCUGAUCCAGCCACACCGCGUGGGUGAAGAAGGCCUUCGGGUUGUAAAGCCCUUUUGUUGGGAAAGAAAAGAAGCAGGUUAAUACCCCGCUGUUCUGACGGUACCAAAAGAAUAAGCACCGGCUAACUUCGU
rnacentral:rRNA from 1 species